rnacentral:lncRNA from 1 species
GGGAACAAUGACAGCCUUGCCGCGUCCAGGUGACCUCCACGAACCAUGCUCUCCUUCCAGCCUCGCAGGGGCGAAGCCAGGAUUGAACGUAGGUGGGGAUCAAGAUAGCCGUGAACAUUCUCUUUGUGUCGGUGGUGUACUUUUCUUAAGAGGUUAUUUGAAAUGGCUACUGGAGAAUAUGUGGAAUUUUUUCAAACUUUCUUGUUUAUAUCUUUUGAAUUUCUGAUGAGCUACUGAGAAUGUAAACAUUAAACUUACGAAUGCAUCUAACUCACUCUCAAAAUACGCAUAUAAUGACGAUUGUGCUCAAGCUAUAUCGAAAGCGAUUAUCAGUGUUUGGCACACCGGUUCACCAAGACGCUUGAGAGUGUGAUAUGUUAA